UACUGCCUCACAUUCACACUGACACUGUCACACACUUCCGUCUUCACACUCACUCUUUACACGACCACGCUAGCACGCCCUCUCCGUCUCUCCCCUUCCGGUUCCGGUUCCAGUGGCUGCAUCCGCUGCGCCACCCCCCGUCUGCUCACCCAAGUCCCAAUCCCGCAGCCCGGCGGCAUGGCGGUGAGCAACAACAUCACGGCAUGCAUCAACUUCCUGGUGCUUCUCUGCACCAUCCCCAUCGCCGCGACGGGGCUGUGGCUGGCCUCGAGGCACGGCGGCGAGGACUGCGCCAGGCUGGCCCGCUGGCCCAUCGCCGUGCUGGGCGCGCUCCUCCUGCUGGUCGCGCUGGCGGGUUUCGCGGGCGCCUACUGGAACCGCAGGGGCCUGCUCGCCUGCUACCUCUUCGCGAUGGCCGCCCUCAUCACGCUCCUCCUCGCCCUCCUCGUCUUCGCCUUCGCCGUCGCGCACGACUCCGGCGCCUACCCGGCUCCCGGCAGGGCCUACCAGGACUACCGCCUCCAGGGCUACUCCUCGUGGCUGCGGGGGUACGUCGCCGACGACCCCCGCAGGUGGGAGGGGGUCCGGGCCUGCGUCGCCGCCUCCGGCACCUGCAGGAAGCUCGCCAUGGAUAGAUCAUUCAUCGUGCCGGAGCAGUUCUACAUGUCGCACCUCUCGCCCAUCGAGUCCGGGUGCUGCAAGCCACCGACGGUGUGCGGGUACGCGUACGCGAACCCGACGGCGUGGACGGGCCCGGCGGCGAGCCCGGCGGCGGACGCGGACUGCGCGGCGUGGAGCAACGACCCCGGCCAGCUCUGCUACGCCUGCGCCUCCUGCAAGGCCGGCGUGCUGGGCGGCCUGCGCGAGCAGUGGCGCAGGGCCACCGUCCCGCUGCUCGUCGCCACCGUCGCGCUCAUCUUCGUCUACGUCGUCGGCUGCAGCGCCUUCCGCAACGCGCAGACCGAGGACCUCUUCCGCCGCUACAAAUGGGGAAAUUAUUAACGAUCUCUCCCACUGAUCUACAUCUACUACGUACGUACACGCCGAUUUGGAUCGGAAUCCAAAGAUGAUGAAUUCAACUAUGAUUUGGAGUACGAGGUUCUAUCUCAUGGAUUUGAUGACCAGUGGAAAUUUGUUGGUGAGACAAGUACAUCCAAAAGAUUUGAGAGAUCAGAUAAGGAUGAUGGUGCACAGAAUCACACACAUCAAGUCGUGAAGGCUAGUAUUGACUCUUCAAAAUCCAACCCUCUCCUGAGUAGCACGCCCACAGAAACUACUGAAGAGAAUACUGUAACUCGGAGCAACAAAAACUACAAUAACGAUCAUGCGGACACGACCACAGUAUAUAGCAUUGAGGAUCAUCAAAGUGAUCUUCUAGAGGCUAACUAUCUUUUUGAGGACGAGCAUUAUGGUCUGGAGGAUUACUAUCUGUGCUAUUUUUUUCUACCAAAUGUUCGAGUUUAGUGCUUGUGGCACCUGUUUUUUUGUCUUAUUAUGUAUAAAUUAUUAUGCACUAACAUUUUAUUAAAUAAAUUCGUAUGUCGUCGCAACGCACGGGCACAAGACUUUA